AUAGUUCAUAAUAACCACAAAUAGCUUUUAUAGACACUGCAAAAAUCUGCUUGAUCACUGGUACUAUUCUUUUUUGUGCCAAGACUUGGACAAGGAAAUUAUAAAGAAAAGGUAGCCAAUGUGAGAGUUUAAAAACAAAAUUAUUCUGAUAGAAAAAUUAACUGGGCUUUUUAUACCUAGUGUCCUCCAUCCAUAAAUUACCCUGGGAAUAUAUUGUUCUUAUGUUGUUGCGUUGCUCCCAUUUUGACACGCCCACUUCCCUACAUUUACUUACAAACAUAGACGAGGAUAAAUCAAAGAAAAGGGACAGGCUUAUAUACAUAAGGGGGCUUCAUUAGAGAAAGCUAAGGACAGGAAAGAGUGCGGUGAUGAAUCGCUGCAGUAAUACAAAGUCAUCUCAAAGUAGACUCUUUGUAACCCUAAUUUGCAUAGGUUUAGUUCUGUUAUGUCGUUUAACUCAAUCAUAGUUCAGAGGAAGCCAAAACUGGUGUUUUGCAGUUUAAAUUUCCACUCUGAUGAAAAUAGUCUUUUCUAUCUUUUUAACAAGUUGUUGUGGCUUUUUUAUGAUGGAGAAAAUAUCAAAAUUAAAUUUAAAAUUAUAUUUUAGUAUUUCUUCGUUUUAAAUCAAAGUGAAUCAGCAGCAGACAAAAAAAAAUGUAGUUUGAAAAAUGUCAUAUUUGUGAUGUAGAAACCGCGAUUCUAAUGCAUCCGCUAGACUAGAUCCGUGUACUGUUUUUUCCACACAAUUAGAUGCACUUAAAAGGCUUAGUUAAAAUAAAAAAUAAAAAAUGGAUCAAAUAUGGUUUGUUUAUUGAUGUUAAAGCAAUUUUAAGAUUUACCCGGUUCAUUUUCACAAUGCUAGUCUGUUUGUUACAUGUGGGAAAAAUGUUUGAGCGUUGGCAUUAAAACACUAAUGUGCAGAGGUAUCAAAAUCUGUAUUUUUUACGUCGUGGGACUUAGCGUAGUCACAGUAACAUUUAUUUUACCGGUAUCGGGGAAAAGAAUGAAAGCUAACAUCAAAAUGCUCUUUCAUUGAUUUACAAUCCUUUACAACUGAGGUCAAAUGAGGUUCACAUUUCCAAAGUCGCAUCAAAAAGCUCAGGGGAGUCUGGUGGAGAUGUUUUCAGCGUUUGUGACGCUGAUUUGACCACGGAAAUGCAAACGGCGGCUUAUUUGACUACAGUCAGUGGGAAGAUACCAUCUUCUCUUUUCCGGAACUUGAACUACACACGCUAGCUACCUAGCUAGCCACAGGUGAGGGUUUAGUGCAUCUGCUGUGACGUAAAGAAGGCUCAUUAAUACAGUUUGACACCAAUUUAAAAUGAGAAAUACUACAAAAUUAAAAUGAUCAUGAAUUUCUGCCGCUCCGAAGGAACUACCGUAUUUUCUGGACUAUAAGCCGCACCUGUAUAUAAGCCGCAUCUGCUCAAUUUAAAAAAAAAGAAGAAAAAAAAAUAAAUACAAGCCGCACUGGGCUAUAAGCCGCAGAUAUCUAUGUUGAAAAAUGUGAUAUUUACUGCAUGUAGAGAACAAUUUUGUAUUUUGAAUGUACAUGUCUGUACCUGCUGUCUCCAGCGUCUCAGCAUAGAUUAAUUGAUGCUAAGCUUGUGUAGAGCAGUGCGGUUUCCUUCCUAGAUAGCAAGCUCCAUGGCCUUCAACUUAAAAUGUGCACCACACAAACUUCUUUGCAGGAUUUCCAUGAUGAAGAAUUGAGGAUUUGAAAAUAAUUACCAGUUAGUAAUUUGUCAUGAGUGUUCUAUCUGUUAAAGAAAAAGUAGCGUUGGCUAUUCUGAUUUACAUAUAUUUUUUGUCUCUUGUUUUUGAUUCUAUUUCCGGUUAGAGCUCCCCUAACAGUGGAAGAAAAAUCCACACAAUAGCCGCACCUUUGUAUAAGCCGCAUGGUUCAAAACCUAGGAAAAAAGUAGCGGCUUAUAGUCCAGAAAAUACGGUAUGUCCAAGAAAAAACGGAUUUCAUAACUGGUUUUACUGGUUAAUGAUCUUCAAAUGUUUUGAGUGAUAGUUGGAAUCUAACACUUCAUCAAGUGCUUUUAUUUACACAAUUUGGUUUUAACUUUUGGAAAAAUAAGUGUUAACUUAGAUUUUAUUUAGAAAAAAUAAUCUGCUUAUUAUUGUGGUAUAUGAUUUACAUAGACUUGACCACUUGGGAACCACACACUGUUAUUUUUUUUUUUUUGGUUAAAAAAGGACUGUCGGCCAGCAUUCAGGAGUUGCCAGAUCUCAUUGUGUUUUGCAGCGGUCUAUUUAUAGACCGCUCUAAUCAAAUCCUGUAAAAGAUUUCAAUCAGGUUGGUCAGAUGUGAAAUCUAAAAGUUGCUAGUUUUCCCUGGAGCUUUAGUUUAAUCUUUCACUUCUAUAAUUUUUGAUUGACUGGCAUAUUGCAUAUAGUCAUGCUUUGUCAGGCCUUGUAUAAAUGGCCAAUUUUCUCAUCAUAGGUUUGCGGUUAAAACUAUAAAGUGUUUUAUUUUUUUUAAACCAAUAUUUUUUUUUUUUAAAUCCAACUUUAAGUUCUUGAUGGAAAAAGUGGUUGUAAACAGCAGACAAAAGAAAAAGGAAAACUCCAUAAAAGUGAAAUAUCUUACAUGUUGCUCUUUAACAGGUGAUCUGUGGUGAGGUCAAAUUUGACAGGAAUUUGAAGGAUUUACAUUUGGGAUUUUAUAUCUAUCAUUUGUUUAAAAAUUCAUCUAUUUUCCAGGAAAACGUAAACUGUAAACACACUAAAUUAAUCAUGUUUUUCUUUCUCCGUAGCUCUUCCUUCCUUUUCUCUUAUUUUUUUCUAUUUUUUUUUUCAUAAAUGGACCCCUGAGUGGUUGCGUCUCCCAGGCCUCAUGCCAUGCUGUCUUUUGAAAGCAAACCUAUGCGGAUGGGCCUUGAACGGCUGCUUCAUCUAGUCAUCCAGGGCCUGACGAGAUUUGACUGGUCCAGUCCCAAUUUGAAAAGACAUAUUGCUUCCAUGCUGCGACUGCCCUGAGGAUGAAGAUGCGCAGUCAGAGCUCUACAAGGUUGAAUGGGAAGUCCCUUGAUGUGGCCACACAAACCUCAAGGGAACGGCAAGACACACCUGCAAGAAACUAUGCGCAAGAAUUUAUAACGCCGAAGCCCAAAACUGGCAUUUACAGGACUUCCAUUCAAAGUGGCCACCAGAACUCGCCUUUUUUCAUUUGUCUUUUAUAUUUAUUUAAAAAAAA